CUUUUAUUGCUUGUGAGAUCUUCCCUUGUCAAAUCAUUAUCAUUCUCAAAUCCUUGGUUGAGAAUGAGGAGUUGAUGAACAUGCUUUUAUCCUUUCUUGAACCAGACCACCCUCAUAAUGCUUUAUUGGCUUGCUAUUUCAGAAAAGGGAGAUGCAGAUACAGCCAAGCACCCGGACAUAUUUUGUUGUUUCUGUAGAUUAUUAGAUAUAGUAUGAAACGAUUGAUAUUGUAUUAUUAUUUAAGUUUACAAAUUUGAGUACCAAUCGAAAGUUAUUCUCUAUUCAUUUGUUCACUUUGUUAUGAUAGCACUUCAGUUUAUUGCUUUAU